AAUAGAUACCCUGGUAGUCCACGCCGUAAACGAUGAGUGCUAAGUGUUAGGGGGUUUCCGCCCCUUAGUGCUGCAGCUAACGCAUUAAGCACUCCGCCUGGGGAGUACGGUCGCAAGACUGAAACUCAAAGGAAUUGACGGGGGCCCGCACAAGCGGUGGAGCAUGUGGUUUAAUUCGAAGCAACGCGAAGAACCUUACCAGGUCUUGACAUCCCAUUGACCACUAUGGAGACAUAGUUUUCCCUUCGGGGACAACGGUGACAGGUGGUGCAUGGUUGUCGUCAGCUCGUGUCGUGAGAUGUUGGGUUAAGUCCCGCAACGAGCGCAACCCUUGUUCUUAGUUGCCAUCAUUUAGUUGGGCACUCUAAGAAGACUGCCGGUGACAAACCGGAGGAAGGUGGGGAUGACGUCAAAUCAUCAUGCCCCUUAUGACCUGGGCUACACACGUGCUACAAUGGACGGUACAAACGGUUGCCAACCCGCGAGGGGAGCUAAUCCGAUAAAACCGUUCUCAGUUCGGAUUGUAGGCUGCAACUCGCCUACA
rnacentral:rRNA from 1 species